GCCAAUGUGAUGUAGUGGUUUGAGCUUUGGACUGCAACUCUGAAGAUCAGGGUUCGAUUUCCCUCUUGAGCA